CCCGGGCCGCAGCAAAAUUUUCCAAGUCUACCGGUCCGUGGUAAUAAAAAGGUUGGGGACCACUGCUUUAGACAGUGUC